rnacentral:tRNA from 1 species
GCGGGUGUAGUUCAGUUGGUAGAACGUCAGCUUCCCAAGCUGAAUAUCGCGGGUUCGAGUCCCGUCACCCGCUCCA